rnacentral:rRNA from 1 species
AGAGUUUGAUCAUGGCUCAGGAUGAACGCUGGCGGCGUGCCUAACACAUGCAAGUCGAACGAAGCACAUUGAGCGGAGAUUCGUCAAAGGUUGAUGUGACUUAGUGGCGGACGGGUGAGUAAUGCGUGAGCAACCUGCCUUUCAGAGGGGGACAACAGUUGGAAACGACUGCUAAUACCGCGUAACGUAUCAUGGGGGCAUCCCUGGGAUACCAAAGGAGAAAUCCGCUGAAAGAUGGGCUCACGUCUGAUUAGCUGGUUGGUGAGGUAACGGCUCACCAAGGCUGCGACCAGUAGCCGGACUGAGAGGUUGAACGGCCACAUUGGGACUGAGAUACGGCCCAGACUCCUACGGGAGGCAGCAGUGGGGAAUAUUGGGCAAUGGGCGAAAGCCUGACCCAGCAACGCCGCGUGAAGGAAGAAGGUCUUCGGAUUGUAAACUUCCUUUAUGAGGGACGAAGGACGUGACGGUACCUCAUGAAUAAGCCACGGCUAACUACGUGCCAGCAGCCGCGGUAAUACGUAGGUGGCAAGCGUUAUCCGGAUUUACUGGGUGUAAAGGGCGCGUAGGCGGGGAUGCAAGUCAGAUGUGAAAUCUAUGGGCUCAACCCAUAAACUGCAUUUGAAACUGUGUCUCUUGAGUGCUGGAGAGGUAGAUGGAAUUCCUUGUGUAGCGGUGAAAUGCGUAGAUAUAAGGAAGAACACCAGUGGCGAAGGCGAUCUACUGGACAGUAACUGACGCUGAGGCGCGAAAGCGUGGGGAGCAAACAGGAUUAGAUACCCUGGUAGUCCACGCCGUAA